UACGAAGGGGGCUAGCGUUGCUCGGAAUUACUGGGCGUAAAGGGCGCGUAGGCGGCGCUGCAAGUCAGGCGUGAAAUUCCUGGGCUUAACCUGGGGGCUGCGCUUGAGACUGUGGUGCUAGAGGACGGAAGAGGCUCGUGGAAUUCCCAGUGUAGAGGUGAAAUUCGUAGAUAUUGGGAAGAACACCGGUGGCGAAGGCGGCGAGCUGGUCCGUUACUGACGCUGAGGCGCGACAGCGUGGGGGAGCAAACAG
rnacentral:rRNA from 1 species